rnacentral:sRNA from 1 species
CACUAAUUUGAGUUUCCAUUUAACAGUCCAAGACAUCCCAUCCAUGAUGAAUGAUGUUAAGUGCCUGCUUUUGCUGGCAAAGGUUUACAAGAGCCAUAAAAAAGAAGCUGUGAUAGAAACGUUGAACAAGAGCACUACCUGGCAGAGAAAGAGUAUGACAAGGCAGUACGGUCUUAUAAGGAUGUCUUCUCCUACUUGCCAACUGACAAUAAGGUGAUGCUGGAGCUGGCGGAGCUCUACCUGCUCCAGGGGCACCUGGACCUGUGUGAGCAGCACUGUGCCAUCCUCCUGCAGACUGAGCAGAACCAUGAGACCGCUUCUGUGGUAGGAAGCCCCCAGCACCCACUCCCUCCCUCCCUUCCUCCCUUCCCAGGGUCCCUGUGACCAGAUGCAGGCCACUUCUUAGCCGUGUAACCUCAGAUGCCUCAGUGACACACCUCUGAGGAGCUGUCAGGCAGAGAGGACUCAGUGCUGCACCUACUCUGCCCUUUAGCCGGAAGGGGUAGGCUGGCUGGCAGUGGGCAGCAUCAAUCUCCUGGGCCAGUCUAAGGUGGGGUGAGGUUUAUUCACCCCAGGGGAA